rnacentral:rRNA from 1 species
UACAGAGGGGCAAGCGUUGUUCGGAAUUACUGGGCGUAAAGGCGCGUAGGCGGCCUGUUAAGUCGAACGUGAAAUCCCCGGGCUCAACCCGGGAACUGCGUCCGAUACUGGCAGGCUUGAAUUCGGGAGAGGGAUGCGGAAUUCCAGGUGUAGCGGUGAAAUGCGUAGAUAUCUGGAGGAACACCGGUGGCGAAGGCGGCAUCCUGGACCGAGAUUGACGCUGAGGCGCGAAAGCCAGGGGAGCAAACGGG